GCCACUCAGGUAGUGGGACUACUGCCCCAGAUCCAGCUGUUUGCCUCUUCCGCCCAAAGGCCAGGUACCAGGUGGAGGCUCUAAGAGCACCUUGGAGAAAGAGCUUGAGAGAACAAGGCUCCAGCACACAGGGUUGAAGGAGGUAGCAGGAGACAGCAGAUGAGUCAGAAGCCUGUGGUGGCCGGGCAUGGCCAGCGCUGAUCCCCCUGCUCCAGGAGAGAGUGGGGCCUCAGGGACAACUAAGAAAAUGGGGAGCAGCAGCCUCUGGGUGCCAGGCCCUGCACUCUCCCUGCUCCUGCUCCUUUUCCUGCUGCUGCCACCUCCAUUGCUGAGCACAGGGAGCUUCCUGCACCACCUCCCAGCCUGGACACCCUUCCACCAGGGCACCAGGCACUACAGGAGCAAGAUAGAGAAGCCAAAAACCUGCGAGGGUGCCUUUGAUCUCUACUUGAUCGUCGACACGUCAGACAAUGCAAACAGCAUUUGGAAGGACAUUUAUAAAUUUGUGGAUGAUCUGGUGAAGAGGUUUCCAAAUUCAAAAAUGAGGAUGUCCUUAAUCACCUACUCCACACAGAGCUACACCAUCAUGAAUCUCACCUCUGACAGAAGUAAAAUACAUAAUAGUCUUGAAAAAAUUCAGAAUAUAGUGCCUACCGGAGCCGCAAACAUGCAUGAAGGAUUUAAAAAGGCAAAUGAGCAGAUUGAAAAAGCAAUCUAUGAAGGCAACAAUGCUCCCAGUCUGAUUAUUGGUCUGACCGCAGGACCACUGACACCAAGGACAUUUGAGGAGACUAAGUCUGAAGCUGAGAAGGCUCGUGAAAGGGGCGCCAAAGUUUAUUCUGUGGGUGUAAAAGACUAUAAGAAUGACCAGCUAAAAGACAUUGUAGAAAGAAAUGACCAAUUUUAUGGGGUAAACAGUGGAUUCGAGUCCCUGGAAGACAUCGUUAACAUGCUGGUGGUAAAUUCCUGUCAUGAAAUUAUGGCUGGGGAGAGUUACUUUGUUUGUGUAGGAGAAGAAUAUGAUAUGAGAUUUUAUGAUACUGACUUACAUCAACACACGAUGGAUGAAAUUGUUUGCAGAUAUAAGUUGGAUGUCGACAAUAUCCUCCAUAAAAAACCUCUACUUAAGGAUGAUGAAUCUUUAGCUUGCCCAGGACAUGUAUUUAAGGAGCCUGGACAGGUGGUCAUCGUUCAAUACAGCCUGAACAAUGGCGUCACCUUCAUUGAGGAGAGCAUGAAAGUAACCAGCCUGAAUUGUGGCAAUACAUCGGAGCCCACAGAUGCCCCAAAGGAGGAGACUUCAGUCCCCACAGUUGUCACACAGAAGACAACAGUGCCCACAGUUGUCACACAGGAGGCACCAGCACCCAUGGCUGUCACAGAAAAGCCUACCCUUGACUACCUAUUCCCAUUGUUCGUCCCAACCCUGAUCAUUAUCGUGGUGGUGAUCUGCUGUCUCUGUUGCUGCAGGAAGCCCUGCAAGGAGCUACCAGUGCAGAAGAUAGUAAUGAAGCCAGAGACAUGUAUACAGACACGUACCCCGGUGAUUGUCCCUUCUUGUAUGUACCAGGAAGACACUAUAAGACGGAUAGAGGGCAAACUGGACACCUUGUGUGACUUUGUGCAAAGCUGCAACCAGAUCCCAUUGAUGUGGUGUCAGCCCAGGAACGUGGGGAAGUAUAUCAUCUUCAACUUCGUGAAUCCCUUCUGCGGGCAGUUGCCCUAUAGCCCAAACGUUUGCCUUCCACCCAGCCAGGAGUGCUUUCCUCUCAACAGCUGCUGCUCACAAUGCCAACACCCCUCCUUCAUAUGCUCCCAGCCACCCUCCAGGAUGCUGUCACUGCUCCCUCCUCCUGCCCAUGCACUCUCCAGAACUACUUUGUCACUCCCACCCCCAUAACCCAGCCUCUAAAGUCCCCAAGACCCAAGACUGUUAAGAGCUCUUUGUGUACCGAAUUGGAUAUAUAUAUAUAUUGAGUCUUGGUUUACGAUCAAAGGAGUUGGAAUUGUGGCUGAUCAACAAGAAUUUGUUGCCUGAACCUCAAGCUGAGCUGACUUGUGAAGAACUGUGUCUGCCGGAGCAAACUUGUAAAGUCAGGACUAAGAGACUGUUUAGUCAA